rnacentral:rRNA from 1 species
GACGAAGGGGGCUAGCGUUGUUCGGAAUUACUGGGCGUAAAGCGAGUGUAGGUGGUUGUCCAAGUUGGAUGUGAAAGCCUUGAGCUCAACUCAAGAAAUGCAUUCAGGACUGGGCGGCUAGAGGACCGGAGAGGAUAGUGGAAUUCCCAGUGUAGUGGUGAAAUACGUAGAGAUUGGGAAGAACACCAGUGGCGAAGGCGGCUAUCUGGACGGUUUCUGACACUAAGACUCGAAAGCGAUGGGGAGCAAACAGG